UACGUAGGGGGCUAGCGUUGUCCGGAAUCAUUGGGCGUAAAGCGCGCGUAGGCGGCCCGGUAAGUCCGCUGUAAAAGUCAAAGGCUCAACCUUUGAAUGUCAGUGGAUACUGCCGGGCUAGAGUCCGGAAGAGGCGAGUGGAACUCCUGGUGUAGCGGUGGAAUGCGCAGAUAUCAGGAGGAACACCAAUUGCGAAGGCAGCUCGCUGGGACGUUACUGACGCUGAGACGCGAAAGCGUGGGGAGCAAACAGG
rnacentral:rRNA from 1 species